CAAAGCCUCGUAAAUACUUCAAUCACACUGACAAAUACUAAUUUCUUGAUUUACCAUUUGUGCUGUUGAUGAUGUGGGAAAUUUUCACUUCGGCCCCAGUUGCUACAGCUGUUACUACCCACCAAGUUUUGCAGAACAAUCAGCUUUGGAGCAGAAUUCCAGAAAUGUUUCAUCAUCACAAGCAUUCUUUCCCUGUUUGUUUCGAGUGAAAACAAAAUGGAACAAAAAGCUUCAACGAAGAUUCUUUCUGAACUCUUUCAUGAGCGCCACAACAUGCGGUCUAUAGGGUCUGCAGAAAUGCCAGAAACCAGUAAGCUUAGCUUCUGGUAUCUUCAAACCUUAGCCAACUAGCCUUAAUGAGUUACAUGAACAAUAAAUAACACAAUUGGGAGGAUAAGGAGAACACAUCAGGUAACUAAGCUCGAAUAUUCACAUGGCCAUUCCUCAUUCCUCACAAAACUCAUUAACCAAACUCUAACUUUACAUAAAUACUCUUCAACACUAACGGAAAAAUACAAAGCAUUGUACCAGAUAGGCAACAGCCAAAACACACCAUCAAUCAGCUCCUCUACAAGCAGAAUCCUGACCCAUGUACCAGAUAGGCAACAGCCAAAACACACCAUCAAUCAGCUCCUCUACAAGCAGAAUCCUGACCCAAGUCCAUGGUAGACUCGAUGAUCCAGCCACUGCAGUGAUAAUGCUCAGCUGCGAUAACGAUGUCGUUUAACACUCUUCUCUGUUUCCUGUUCUCUCUUUCGACACACUUCAGAUUUUCUAUGUUUCUUCCUCUCAUUUGCCUGACUAUCUUCAUUUUUUCUAAUCUGCAGC
rnacentral:lncRNA from 1 species